rnacentral:rRNA from 1 species
UCCGUAGGUGAACCUGCGGAAGGAUCAUUACAGAAAGUAAACGCGGAUCAAACCGCGAACUUUUAAACCUUUGACGAUUGACUCAUGUUGCCUCGGCGGGUUCUCCCGCCAGAGGAUACAUCAAAACUCCUGUUUUUAACGGUGUUGUCUGAGCUACAAGCAACGAAUCAAAACUUUCAACAACGGAUCUCUUGGUUCUGGCAUCGAUGAAGAACGCAGCGAAAUGCGAUAAGUAGUGUGAAUUGCAGAAUUCAGUGAAUCAUCGAAUCUUUGAACGCACAUUGCGCCCCUUGGUAUCCCGAGGGGCAUGCCUGUUCGAGCGUCAUUUCACCACUCAAGCCUGGCUUGGUGUUGGGCGACGUCCCCUUUGGGGACGCGCCUCGAAACGCUCGGCGGCGUGGCACCGGCUUUAAGCGUAGCAGAAUCUUUCGCUUUGGAAGUCGGGGCCCCGUCUGCCGGAAGACCUACUCGCAAGGUGACCUCGGAUCAGGCAGG